UGGGGAAUAUUGCGCAAUGGGGGGAACCCUGACGCAGCCAUGCCGCGUGAAUGAAGAAGGCCUUAGGGUUGUAAAGUUCUUUCGGUAUUGAGGAAGGUUGAUGUGUUAAUAGCACAUCAAAUUGACGUUAAAUACAGAAGAAGCACCGGCUAACUCCGUGCCAGCAGCCGCGGUAAUACGGAGGGUGCGAGCGUUAAUCGGAAUAACUGGGCGUAAAGGGCACGCAGGCGGUUAUUUAAGUGAGGUGUGAAAGCCCUGGGCUUAACCUAGGAAUUGCAUUUCAGACUGGGUAACUAGAGUACUUUAGGGAGGGGUAGAAUUCCACGUGUAGCGGUGAAAUGCGUAGAGAUGUGGAGGAAUACCGAAGGCGAAGGCAGCCUCUUGGGAAUGUACUGACGCUCAUGUGCGAAAGCGUGGGGAGCAAACAGGAUUAGAUACCCUGGUAGUCCACGCUGUAAACGCUGUCGAUUUGGGGGUUGGGGUUUAACUCUGGCGCCCGUAGCUAACGUGAUAAAUCGACCGCCUGGGGAGUACGGCCGCAAGGUUA
rnacentral:rRNA from 1 species